CCGCGGCCCCCUUCCCACUGCGCCCUGGCACCCACUCGCGCCCCCUCGCGGGCCACGUUGGUUAAAUGAACGGAUGCAGGAUACAGAGGGCCUGUGGAUAUAGACGGCUGACUGAAUGUACACGUUUACUAUAUAAUUUUGUUUGUAAAUUAUAUUAUGAUUUAAUUCUAUUUAUAACUUUAUAAUUUUUUGUUUUACAAGCCUAUAGAAUUAUAUAUAAUUAUUGUAGUUUAUCCUUAUCUCUGUUUCACGGAGAGGUAAAUGAUGACCAGGGAGUUACAAAGCUUCAUAAGUUUCUCGUGAGUACCAGGGAGCAGAGCCGGGGUCUAAACCAGUCUGCCUUUUUUCUGAAGCCAGAGUCCUCUUCUUUACACCAAGCUACUCUAUAGAAAGAGCAUUCUCAGGCCAGGCGCAGUGGUUCACACCUGUAAUCCCAGCACUUUGGGAGGCCGAGACGGGUGGAUCACCUGAGGCCAGGAGUUGGAGACCAGCCUGACCAACAUGGUGAAACUCCGUCUCUACUAAAAAUACAAAAAUUAGCCAGGCGUGGUGGCCUGCACCUGCAAUCCCAGCUAUUCAGGAGGUGGAAGUAGGAGAAUCGCUUGAACCCGGGAGGUGAAGGUUGCAGUGAACCAGGAUCACGCCACUGCACCGGGAUCGUGCCACUGCACUCCAGCCUGAGCGACAGACUCCGUCUCACCAAAAAAAAAAGGAAUGUGUAUUGGAGAAAAAAUAACAGAGUCUGGCUAAAGAGAUGAAGAGCUCAUGAGGGCGUGUCUCAAUUUAAACAAGAGUAGCAUUGGCAAUUGUUGUCCUUAGCAGCAGCCGACAAGGCGGAAUUGGAAUGGUGCUGCUCCUGACUACCUCUACUCCACGCUAGGCUUAGGGGCUGGAGUGACCCAAGCCCUCAGGGACCUGCAGCGGCUGAAGUCCUCUCAGCACCUGCAAUAUCCCAGAGGGCAAAGACAGGGCCAAAUACUGGAUUCUGGAUUCUCUUCAUUGUUGUCCCCCUGCAAGUGGAGAGGUAUCCAGGCUGGGCCUUGUCCUAAGAUAUGACGGAACUGAAUUCUUCCAGCAAGCAUGUGAGCUUGGAAGAGAACACCAUGCGCCACACGAGAAUGCAUACUGGCCAACACCCUGUGCAAAGAUCCAGAGAAGCUGUGCUCAGACUCCUGACUCAUGAAAAUAGUGAACUUAUAAAUGUAUAUUGUUUUAAGAUGCUAAAUUUGUGGUGAUGUGUUACAUGGCAAUAGAAAACUAAUAGAGAUAAAACUUGACAUUUGAAGUGCAUCACAUAAUGAAAUUAGUAGAUGAGAAUCUCUCUAGAAACAAGUAAAAUUUUGAGUUAAAAUGAGAGACUGGACAUAUAAUUCCUCCUCCCUCCAAAAUCCCAGGAAAUGAGUAGUUAAAAAAAUUUUUUUUUAAUUUUACAAGAUAAGAACAACAAGCAGAGAUACUUGAAGUAGGGGCUGGUUCUUCUUCACUCCCUUUGUUAUAUAACUGAACUUCCUCACACUUGAGAAGUACAUUUCCCUGCUCCUUGACUUUCAACUCAGCCAUGUGGCUUGCUUUGGCCAAUGAGUUAUAGGUAGACGUGAUGUGACCAGAGGUUUAGAACUCAUCACUGAUCUUGAAACCACCUUUGCAAAAUUAUGACUGAGACAGUGAAACAGAUCUAACUUAGCCAACUCCGUCUUCUUCCAACCUGCAGGCUGUGCUUGUUCAUUCUGGGUGUAGGCUGAACUAACUUUGGGAGAAACUUAGUUUAUAGUUUAAAACAAAGAUGAUAACAGCCCUUUCCCAAAGCAGACCUUCUUCUUGCCUGGGGACUAGAUUGCCUUUGUAGGACUGACAGUAGCCACGAGAUUAGAAAUUAUGAUUUAGGAAUCGUGCAGCUGGAGGCUACAAGAUUCUGACCCUCCCUAAAUUGCUCCUAAGAUCAAUGCUUGAGAUAUUUUGCAGACCCUGCACUUGAUGGCACCACUCAGAUCAAUAAACUGGCUCAUCUGAUCUUGUGGCCCCUUACCCAGGAACUGACUCAUCACAAGAAGACAGCUUCAACUCCCUAUGAUUUCAUCUUUGACCAAUCAGCACUCCUGGCUCACCGGCUUCCCACACACCCACCAAGUUGUUCUUAAAAACUCUGCUCUCCGAAUGCUCGGGGAGACUGAUUUGAGUAAUAAUAAAACUCUGUUCUCCCACACAGCCGGCUCUGUGUGAAUAACUCUUUCUCUAUUGCAAUUCCCCUGUCUUGAUAAAUUGUCUCAGUCUAGGCAGCAGGCAAGGUGAG
rnacentral:lncRNA from 1 species